GUUUGCCAUUUGGGAUUUUCCCUUAACAUUUCUUGGUCCUUCGAGCCGGAUGGGACGGGCUAUUUAAAGCAGCUCCCAUAAGAGGCACCUCACCAGGUCCCGUCGGUGCGAGAAGCCCACGUUGAAGUCUGUCGACAGCUCACGCACUAGGUGCGUGAUAAAGCCCAAGGACGUGAAUUCGGGUCUUGGCCAACGUUUUACAAGCGGUCCGCACCGUCGGGGGCUGAUUGGGUGCAUCUGAAGAAACCACCAUUAAGGUAAGACGGAAAAACUCUGAGACAGUAAUGAUUGCGCAAAACGUAAACUAAAAUAGAGCUCGUCUAAGGACUGGCAGCUCCCCCGCAGGGGGUAGAAAACUGGGCUCGCCCGAAGGGGCUGGUAGCAUUUUAAACUAAAAUAGAGCUCGUCUAAGGACUGGCAGCUCCCCCGCAGGGGGUAGAAAACUGGGCUCGCCCGAAGGGGCUGGUAGCAUUUUAAACUAAAAUAGAGCUCAUCUACGGACUGGCAGCUCCCCCGUAGGGGGUAAAGGUAGUGCGCGCAUAAAUGUACUGUACUGUUUUGUUUAUGUUGGUGGAAUAAGUUGAUUUUUUUUACAGCACAAUAAGGAGGCUGAACUAUUCCACUAAUUUGUUUACUGUUGGUCGCUGAAGUACUGGUGAACUGAGAGGAAGGUCGUGUUUCAUCACGUAAAGGUGACACCGCUUUCAAGAAUAGCUUGAAAGUAGAAGGGCGUGUCAGCUACCUCUCUCUGUUCUCGUGCCAGUGAAAGCGCCGCAGGUGUGUGUGUAUUACUAAGCGCUAAAAGAAGCAUAAACUAAUAAUGGGUAAUAAAGCAACAAAACUCACUGCUGACGAGCAGUGGCUAGAAAAGAAAUGUCCAGGUGCCGGACAAAUUAGUGCAUAUAGAUAGAGAAAUCCAAAGAAAACUAAAUGUCCCACGUGGGAGGGAAAAUGCAUUAACUAAAUUAUAAGAAACCCUCCAAGCAGAAAUAAAUACUGAAAAGGAUGCUAAAAAGAAAUCAAAGCAUACACAAGAGUUGUAAUAUUUUAAAGCAUGGAAAGAGGAAUGAAGUGGAAUAAACAAAAGGUUAAAUUAAGGUUAACUUAAAUUAAAGCAAUGAAACAAAAUUGGGAAGACAACCAAGCUGAAUGAAUAGAAUGCGUGAAAUCAGAUAAUUCACACAAAAUAUAUCAAAUAAAAAAGAGAGAUGCAUAAGGCAUAUUAAGGCUGUGUCAUUGUUCAGCCAAGGAAAAUGUCUCCAGCUUGGGAAGGUGUGAAGCUGCAGGUCACAUCGGCCUUUGAUGGAUACAUAAUAAAAUAUAAACUAAUAUACUAUUGUAUAUUAGUAGUAAAG
ensembl:lncRNA